rnacentral:rRNA from 1 species
CAGCAGGCGCGAAACCUUAGCAAUGUGCGAAAGCACGACUGGGUCAGUCCGAGUGAUUCCUGAUAAAGGAGUCUUUUACUUGUCCUAAAAGCACAGGUGAAUAAGGGGUGGGCAAGUCUGGUGUCAGCCGCCGCGGUAAUACCAGCACCUCGAGUGGUCAGGACGUUUAUUGGGCCUAAAGCAUCCGUAGCCGGCUUUGCAAGUCUUCGGUUAAAUCCACCUGCUCAACAGAUGGGCCGCUGGAGAUACUACAAAGCUAGGGAGUGGGAGAGGCAGACGGUAUUCAGUGGGUAGGGGUAAAAUCCUCUGAUCCAUUGAGGACCACCAGUGGCGAAGGCGGUCUGCCAGAACACGUUCGACGGUGAGGGAUGAAAGCUGGGGGAGCAAACCGGAUUAGAUACCCGGGUAGUCCCAGCUGUAAACGAUGCAAACUCGGUGAUGCAUUGGCUUAUGGCCAAUGCAGUGCCGCAGGGAAGCCGUUAAGUUUGCCGCCUGGGAAGUACGGACGCAAGUCUGAAACUUAAAGGAAUUGGCGGGGGAGCACAAGGGCAAUUCGCG